rnacentral:rRNA from 1 species
CCUACGGGUGGCAGCAGUGGGGAAUAUUGCACAAUGGGGGAAACCCUGAUGCAGCGACGCCGCGUGAAGGAAGAAGUAUUUCGGUAUGUAAACUUCUAUCAGCAGGGAAGAAAAUGACGGUACCUGACUAAGAAGCCCCGGCUAACUACGUGCCAGCAGCCGCGGGAAUACGUAGGGGGCAAGCGUUAUCCGGAUUUACUGGGGGGAAAGGGAGCGUAGGCGGUUUAGCAAGUCAGAAGUGAAAGCCCGGGGCUCAACUCCGGGACUGCUUUUGAAACUGUUGAACUAGAUUGCAGGAGAGGUAAGUGGAAUUCCUAGUGUAGCGGUGAACUGCGUAGAUAUUAGGAGGAACCCCAGUGGCGAAGGCGGCUUACUGGACUGUAAAUGACGCUGAGGCUCGAACGCGUGGGGAGCAAACAGGAUUAGAUACCCUUGUAGUC